rnacentral:misc_RNA from 1 species
GACACAUUCAUCCUUAUUAUCAGAAAAAUUCAUAUUCUAGGAAUUCUAAAACGCCUGUGUCCAAAGUAACUGCUCCUUCAUCACAGGCUAUAGUUUGAAUCUGCUUAUUCAUCUUCUUCUUUUUUCCUUGUCUUUUACCCCUUUGUUCUUCCUAGUAAAACUAUUGUGUUAUUUUAUCAUCAGUCUUUUCCACACAAUUGACCAACCUUUCUUCCAUGUUGUUUCUGCAGUUAAGCAAGUGAGAUGGAGUGG